GCCAGACCUCAAAAUAUAAACAAGAGGACAUGUUUUUGAUAAACAGGCGGAAAUCAAUUUUGCCUAGUUCCAUAUAAUAAGUUCACAAGGUAAAAAUUUCAUACAAAUAAAUAUACUAAUUCUAUCAUUAUUACAAAAAUUU